rnacentral:lncRNA from 1 species
GCAACAAAAAAGGGGGGAACAAUUAGAGGGAGGAGCUACGAAAGAGGCGAACGAAGAAACAGAGAGAUUGGGAGUGACGGCUAAAGGAGAAAAGAAAAGAGAAAAAAGGGAAACAGAAAAUAGGGAGAGCUUGGUCUGAGGGGAGUUUCGGCUGAGAAAGAAAAGGAAAGGCAGCAGAAGGAAAAACAGAAGAAAAGAAAGAAACAGAGGCGAAGAACAAGAAGAAAUCUGGAAAAUUGGGGAGGGGGUUUUCAGGUGAAUCAAAAUAAGAACAGAGUGCUUCAUCGGAAGCUAAAAAAAAAAAGAGAGGAAAGAAACGAGGGGAGCAAGAGAGGGAGCUUCGGCCUUGAGAGAAAAACAGAGGAGGCGGACGGACGAGGAAAGAAAAGGGCAAGGGGCAACGAAAGAAAGAAAAGCCUGCGAAUUUGGGGGAUUUUGGGGGUUAGCAGCCGAGAGAAGAUCUGGGGGGUCUUGAGGGCUGAUGAAAGGAAAAGAGCGGCUAGGUUUUGGGGCAUGAGAGCUUUAGCAAGAGCAGAGAGAAAUCUGGAAAUUGGGAAGGGGCUUCAACUUCAAUCAUCCGGAAAAAAUUUCCAAAUCACCACCGCCGAAUUGCCCACCACCGCAACCCGCUUCCACCGCUCUCUCUCUAUCCUCCGUCCUCAAAUUCCCCCCAAUUUCUCCAAGCAACUCCUUCACAAAACCCCUCAUUUCCAUUCUGCUCUUCCCCGUUUCCAACACAAGCCUUUUCUGCCGUUACUCCCCAACGUCUUCACCGCAGCCUUUCUCCUCCACCACCGUCUCUGCCCCUCCAAAUCCUAAACCAAACCAGAAAAAACCACCGUCUCUGCCCUUCCAAAUCCUAAACCAAACCAGAAAAAACCACAGUCGUCCCCCUCCUCAGACCUUACCAACAACGUCCGCCUCAUAUCACCGGUGGACCGCCUCCGACUAUGCCAGUCCCCCACUCGUCGACUUCCUCCUCCGUCGCAACUGCCGCAGUGACUGCCAAGAAGAAGCCUCCAACUGACGCAACCACCAGAGCUGCUGCUUCUCGCUCCAAGUCAACCGCUGCAGCGCCUAAACCAAAGCAAAGAUGAAGCCGGUGAAGCAACGUCGGACUCCACCUCUACCGCCCGUACGUUGUCCCUGUGAUAGCCCGCUGUAAGUCAACCUUUUCUUUUACGUUUCAGUCCUUUUUUCGGAGAAGGUUUGCCGUGGACUGUGGUGGCAAAUUUUUGUGUUGUCUGUUCAUGAUUUUUCUGAUUGUACAUGUUAUAUGUGUUGAUUGGGCUGAAUGUCUUGGGUUGCUGGUAAAAUUUUGGGGCGGGUUGUGGAUUCGUUUGAGCAGGGAUUAGCUGAAAUUAUGUGUGCCCGUCUAGUGUUCGACGAAAUGCCCCAUUGAGAUUUUUGCCUGAA